rnacentral:tRNA from 1 species
GGAUACAUAGCUCAGAUGGUAAGAGCGUCCGGCUCAUAACCGGAUGGCCGUAGGUUCGAGUCCUACUGUAUCCA